CAGCCGCCGCGGUAAUACGGAGGGCGCGAGCGUUACCCGGAUUUACUGGGCGUAAAGGGCGUGUAGGUGGCCUGGGGCGUCCCAUGUGAAAGGCCACGGCUCAACCGUGGAGGAGCGUGGGAUACGCUCAGGCUAGAGGGUGGGAGAGGGUGGUGGAAUUCCCGGAGUAGCGGUGAAAUGCGCAGAUACCGGGAGGAACGCCGAUGGCGAAGGCAGCCACCUGGUCCACUUCUGACGCUGAGGCGCGAAAGCGUGGGGAGCAAACCGGAUUAGAUACCCCCGUAGUCCCUGUCUCUUAUAC
rnacentral:rRNA from 1 species